CCAAUCCCUCCCUGAGAAUCAUAUACGCACCUGGACCCACGUGCUUCAAGUAUGACGUACUUGACAUUGCCGCUGGGCUAAUGGCCAUCGCAAACCUGUCCAGAGAGAAGCCAUCGGCAAGUCUUGUUGGUUCCACCUCUAAAAUCUUUUCAGUCAGCCCAUUCGUCUCCUGCCACCACCCAGGACCAAGUCUCCACCGCCAUCUCCCAGGAUUGUUGGUAGUCUCCUAAUUGUCUCCCACUCCCACACUCGCCACGUUCCAGAUGAUCCUCCACAUGGCAGGAAGGGUGCUCCCGACAAAAUGCCAAUCGAGUCACAUCCCUCUCUUUCUCAGAACAUCUUCCAUUCUUCCCGCUGCAUUUCAAAUAAAGUCCAAAAGCAUCACCA